rnacentral:rRNA from 1 species
UACGAAAGGUCCAAGCGUUACUCGGAAUUACUGGGCGUAAAGCGCGCGUAGGCGGCUUUGUAUGUCGAUUGUGAAAGCCCCGGGCUCAACCUGGGAACUGCAGUCGAAACUGCAAAGCUUGAAUGUUGGAGAGGUUGGGGGAAUACCUAGUGGAGAAGUGAAAUUCGUAGAGAUUAGGUGGAACACCAGAGGCGAAGGCG